rnacentral:rRNA from 1 species
UACGUAGGGUGCAAGCGUUGUCCGGAAUUAUUGGGCGUAAAAAGCUCGUAGGCGGUCUGUCGCGUCGGCUGUGAAAACCCGAGGCUCAACCUCGGGCCUGCAGUCGAUACGGGCAAACUAGAGUACUGCAGGGGAGACUGGAAUUCCUGGUGUAGCGGUGAAAUGCGCAGAUAUCAGGAGGAACACCGGUGGCGAAGGCGGGUCUCUGGGCAGUAACUGACGCUGAGGAGCGAAAGCGUGGGGAGCGAACAGG